rnacentral:ncRNA from 2 species
CUGCUAACGUGGGGGUCCUGCGUUACACAUCGCGGCUUUAGUCAGGUUUUGCGGCUGAAACGCUUCGUGCGGCGUGGGUGAGAAAUACCCUUUGAACCUGAUCUGGAUAAUGCCAGCGCAGGGAAGCGUUCGGGUUCCAGGC